GAAUACUCUCAAAUUUCGUAACAAUAUGUACCUUGUAGUUUUCAAUAAAUUUGCCGUUUUACCAUCCGCACUUGUCCUUACGUUUGCGUCAUUUCAAAACUUUAUUGUAAAGCGUAUUCGCAAAGGCACGGCUUCGUAUUUGUGUUAUGUAGUUUAGACUAGUUAUGCCUGGGAAGUGCUAUUUUAAUCCCCAAUGGAUGGAUAAUCAAGCUUAUAAAGAAUGGAUUUUAUCGAUGCCCGAAAAGAAGUUCAGAGCCAAGUGCCGAUUAUACAUGAAGGAGAUCGAUAUCGCGAAAAUGGAAGAAUCUGCUCAGAAAUCACACAUGAAAGAAAGGUAAAACAAAAAAGCAGUCUCAUGCCCUGGGUUCUCUUUUUCCAAAGACAUCAACAUCUAAUUCAUCUGGUGUAAAUACUCCUUCAACAUUGUGUGCCCCGUGUGAAACAGAAACUUUAGUGG